rnacentral:tRNA from 1 species
GGGGAUUUAGCUCAGUGGUAGAGCACUUGCCUAGCAAGACCCUGGGUUCAGUCCUCA